rnacentral:lncRNA from 1 species
CUUUAUUGGCACUAUAGGAAGAACAGGGUAUGGAUUUUAACAACUCCUCCAAACAGGAAAAAAAAAUGCCUUAAUAUCAAGGGUAUCUUUGCAGAUAACCACAUGGAUCCAUGAAUUACUCCAUAACCCUAAGAAAAUGUGUUUUAUUAUAAUCCAGUAAAAAGGCUGGUCAAAAAAAAAAAAUAAUUUACAGCGACAACAACAACAACAAAAAAAAAGAGAGAGAGAGAGAGAGAUAAAUCAAGCCAGGCAAACAUUUGAUAAGGUAUUUCUUCUCCCCUCCCUCCACCCCCCAUGAGAAGUAAGUAUCCAUUUAAAUUGGGACUUGGAAAGGAAGAAAAACAAAUCUAAAAAAUAAAAAUUAAAAAACAUGCCUACAAAUCUCACUGUAAUACUGAAAGCUUCUUACAUUAGUUUUCUUGCAAAAUAUCAUUUCUUUAUAAUACAGUAUACAUUUCCAAGGGAAGGGGACCAUAAACACAUCCUCCAUCCCAUGACUAAUAUUUUCUAAUUGUGCAUAGCUAGAAGUAUUGAAAUCAAAUAUCAUUAGAUACCACUGGAAUAUAAUACUGCUUAAGAAGGCGGCAUAGCUGAAACAACCACAAAGAGUGAGGUCAAGUCACUGGCACAGGCCGUUCUAUUCCUACAUUGAACCAUCUGGAACUAGAACGAUUUAGGAAAAAAACAGAGCUUACAAACAAGAUAUGCCAGCACUGUAACAUGAGUCCAGCAAUGUUGUGUGACACAUUAAAGCAGAAAGAUCCACUGUUUUAUUAUUUGAACACGUAUUUCAGGCACUAUAUAUCAGAUUGUUAGGAAACUGUUUUAAUGUAAUAAGGGCUUUAUUUCCCUGCAAACGCACCAAUAGUUGCCACAGACAGAGCAGAAGUGCUGAGAACCAGCUUUAAAGCACCAGAAGAGAAGUGUAAUGGUUGUCUGCUCCACCAGUAAUGAGACUCAUAGUCAGUGCCAAUAACCCUUCAGUACAGAAAUAUGCAAAUCAAUUCUGACAAGUUUAACUGCGAUCUUUCAUUUGUGACUUUCAGAGCACUGGAGCAUGUUUUUGGUCAGCCAAAAGCUUCCUGCGUUCCCAUGUUCUGUCCAGGAGGGUAAAGGGGGCUCCAUACAACUAAUCUGGAUGUUUGUAAGUAACACACUAAACUUCUAACCAUGGUUUGGUUGAUUGGCAUUUGCAUGGAUUUACUCACAGACUUGUAUCACCUCCAAAAAUAAUACAACACUGGUGAAGUUGUUUCUAGCAGCCCAAGGAAUUGUUGAGGAAAUACUGCAGCUUGUUAACACUGAUGUGGACAUUUCUUUUUUGGCACACUCCUCCUUUGCUUAUAAUAAUAGGAGCUGAAAACACUUCAGCAUUCAGAUGUGAAUCACCAUGAGCAGUGAUACCAUACAGGCAAAGAGGGCAUCCACAAAAUUCAGAAAGAUCUAGAAUCACAUUAGGCAAGAAAAUAAAUCAUAGGCUAGCCCAAUGACUACCUGUAAGAACAAGCUAUUCCAAAGAGGGCAAAGCAAAUGAGGACACCACUGUAGAGGGAAUCCACUGUUAAGAGGCCUCUUCUAAAGGUCUACAUUUCCUUCUGUGAAAGAUCAAGGCAAAAAUCCAAUUCAACCCUGAGCAUACAUGGUUGUUCCCUCCCUAGAAAGGAGGAGGAGAACUCUGGGUAGCUGCAGCAUGAGUAGGAAUGGAUAGGAAGUGAUUACAACCAUUGACACAGAACAAGUCUCCCCACAACUACCAGUGUCCUGCUUCUAAGAGAUAGAACCCUCUGAACUAGAAACUACAAAGGGGCAAAGCAUCCUUCUGGAGAAAAACAAACAUUCAAGCCAGGAAUCUGGCAAAAUGCUAGUGAAGAUUAAGGCAACAAGUGGACAAACCUCAUGAUCCUCUCCCCUCAAAUGCUGCUGGAAGCCAGGAAGACACAGCUGCAGUUUUGUUUCUACAUGACCCAGAUACAAAAUAGUUUUGGUCCUCUGCUGUUUAUCACUUUUGAAUGCAUCUGUUUUAAACAAAGGCAUCUGAGCUACAGUAGAUCUAUACAGUCAUAAGGCACCAAUGACUACAUGCUAAAAAGGCCUCAUGGAAAAAACUGAAAUCACCCCACCUGACUAGAAACGUACUGGUUCAGCAAAAGAAAUACAGUUACAGAGUUUUCAGUUGUUUACUUUUCUGCUUAUCCCUUUCCAUUUUCAGUGGUGACCUCAAAAUGAAAGGCAGUGUUCUUUAGCUAUCUCUGCCUCACUGGUUACAUUCAAGUCAGACAAAAUGACAGCAAACAAAGCCAUUUACCCAGAGGAAAACUUAUUCUGGAAAGCCUGGGAGUCAAGGCUCCAAUACAUCCCACAACAGUGAAAAUAUUUCAAAGGCCUCCUUGUGAUUAGGAAAUUUCAUGUUUCAUCUUUAAACAGUAAAAGGUAACACCAGCAGGAAUGCCACAGAUUGUUUGGUCUGCUUACAUUUAAAGGACAAAAGCUUUGGUCUUUUAGAAAGAAAGUCCACAUUCUACCUCCAACCCUUCCUUCUUCCCAAAACUCCAGGUUCUCCAUCUCAACUACAUGAUUCAGACACUUAAUGAUGUCAGAAAUUUAGAUCCUGGUCUCAAAGCUUAAUACUGAAGCUUGUGUAAGUUAGUAGGAAGGCACAAUGUCAAACUGUUAGCACUUUAUAUAGUUCAGUGAAAGUAUCUGCUGGCCUCCCUAUACUCAAUGGGAGAGGACAGCUACACAGCCAUUUCAGUAAGCAAAACAAACUAAAUGCAGUAAGACUUUACCCAAAGUCACAGAAUUUCAGAUUUGCCCUAAUACAAGUUUGCUUUCCCAAGCCACCCCAGGAAUAUGCAAGUGUCGUUCUUUCUUCUGUUGCCGAACUCCAGCAUUUACCAAAAUAACUCUAUAAAUAAGACCAUGGUCGCUCUUCUGUAGUGGUUCCAGCGCAGCACGAUUACGAGUGAGUGAUGGGAGAGGAUGAGAAAGAAGGGAGAAGGGACUGCAGGGCAGCAAAUGCAGGGGAGAGUUUACAUGGACUCAAACUCAUCAAUGCGCUGCUUGGUGUUGCCCUGCCGAAUCUGACGGAGGGUCUUGUACUUGUCUCGGCCCAGCCGCAUGUUCUCAGCAUGGAUCAUAUCAUUGGCUGUCUUCUUGGUUUCAUCCCGAGCGUUUGCCAACUCUGAGGAAAGAGCCUUUAAGUGUUUCUGCACUCGUUCGUUUUUCUCUGCUUCAGUGGUACGCUGCUCCUCACUGCGGUCCUUGAUGGUGGCCUCUGAUCGAAGCUCAGCACUGGCUUCUGCUGCAUUUUCAUCCUGCUCAUCAUCAUGCUCAUUCUCAGCAUGCAUUGGCUCAGUGACAUGAGGAGUGCUCAUGGCAGUCUUCAACUCCUCUUUGGUCUUCUCUAGGUCCUCCUGCACCAUUUGUGCCUUCUGCUGCCACUCCUGGGCCUCACUCUCUUUCUUCUGCCUGGCCAAUUCCAGCUGCGUGAUCCUAGCUGUGAGUUCUGCCAUUUCAGCAGCCAGCUGUUCCUGGGUCUUUUGUUGAUCAUGGGAUGCUUUCAGCAGGGCCUCCUUUGCCUCUUCUGCUUCUCUACGUUCUUUAGCCAGUUUUUCUGCUUCUUCCUGAGCUCGUUUUCUCUCCUGUUCCAGCUCCAUGGCUCUGCGGGUCUGUUCUUCCAGUUCUUGCUGAGCUUUUUUGGUUUGCUCCUCAAUUUGCUUGAGUUUUUCCAUCAGCUCCUCCUUCUCACGUUCAAUCUUCUCCUUCUCUUUUUCUGCCAGUUCCCUCUUCUUCUUCUCAUUCUCCAGCAGGGCUCUCUCCAUCUGUUUCUGAUGCUUCUCUUCCCGAGCCUGUGCUUUCAUCUGCUGCACCUCAAUGGUAUCUGGCUUACGUCUGCGCAUGUAGAGCUCAUGGUUUCCCAUACAAAGUGCCAAGAUUCGUUUGUUAAUCCGUAACCGAGGGGCAUAGAAUACGAAGUCUGGUGCUUUCUUGUCAAUAGGCUUGAUUACAAACUUCUUGUCAUUGAAAGAAAUAUUUCUGAUCUCACUCCAAGGGAAUCCAAUUUUUGGUGUUAGCCUGUCAUUCUGCUCGUAAAUGUUGAGUCCAAGAGCAUCUACGCCUAGCCAGAGUUCAGAGCCCUUUUUGUUCUUAAUGUUGAAGUAGUUCACACCGUACAUUUCCAAAUCCUGUGCAAUUUUCAGGUACUCCAAGACAGCAUCUUCUCUAAUCAUUCCUCGAUGUUCCUCAUGCCACACUUGGAUCCUCUCCUCCCACUGGUCCUUGUUAAGUUUGUGCUGCUCCAGAACUCUCUGUGGCAGCAGUUUGUCACUAGCAAGGUAACCAGACUUGUGCACAUCUUUAUUGAAGUCUCCAUACUUUGACUGGACAGCAUAGGAAGCCAGCAGGACAGCUGUUUCUGGAGGACAAUAAAUGUCAUCAUUCAGAAUUGCCUCCUUCACUUGGAGGAAGAAUAGGCGCUGUGUGAUGUCCUGAAUCAACUCUUCUGCCACAUCUUCCGGGUAGAACUUGGCUCGGAAUUUGAAAAGAAGAGGGCUUUCCUUGCGUACAUCCUGUGCUGUUACCUUUUUAUUUAAUUUGAGCCACGUUGAGAAUCCCUUUGUGUCUUGAUACUGGAGUCCAAAGAACCAGACUUCUCUUAGACCAAUUGUCUUGACGACCUGAUCAAAGAGUUGUUUCCCUGUAGUGUUGGGCUGGAUGGCAAAUUCCAGCUCAGCAUCCAUGGUGGUAACACGCACGCUGAUCGUUUUCGGCAUCUUCCUGGCGUCCUGGACACGGCGAGCCGCUCGUCCUGCGCUGCUGGGACUCUCCGCACUGCUUCUAACGGGACUCUCUCGCCCGCCUGUCCCGGCGCAAACCCCACCCCGCCAGUGGCCGCCUUCUUUUGGGGCUGUACCGGGGCGCGGCCCGGCCCCGUUAGCAGGGCGCGGCGCGUUCCUGCCUCGCGUCGUCGGAAGGCGGGGCUGGGAGACUCCACCGGGACUACAGCAGGCCUCGCCCCGCUGGAAAGACCCUCUGCGAGGCGGCCUUGGGAGGGGAGCGGUGUUGGUGGCAGCGGCUGAGGCCCACCGGGGCAAAAACUGAGGAGUGGUCCGUCGUCUCAAAAAUCAGGUGCCCGAGAAACCGGGAAAGCCCCGGGCUCUGAAGUUCAUUUGCGUAUCUGAUGUCACUGGGACUUCUGGUCCUUACUAAAAGCAUUACUGUAAACAUUUACCGUGUGUUAUGGGCAGUUGCACUUUUCAGAAUAAGAUGACAGCAGUGGUGUGUGAUAGAUCCUUUUGUCUUUUAUUUAGUCUGAGUCACACGCACUGGGUGCUGCUCAGCGGUGCUCUGGUAAGUCGACGGUCUCUUUGACUCAUGAGGACAUUCACUGAGCAUGCUGUCACAUAUCAUGUUCUCGUAGCUGCCUGUUCCACUAUAAAGCACUCCACUGGCUUCAGGUAUUUGAAAAGUAUAACCAAAGGGGCUGUGGCUUCCUGUAGUUUGGCAGACACACCACUCCUGGUCCUCAAGCUUCUUCAGAGGCCAUCACCGUAAUUACACAAUAUAAACGAGCCGUCAGAUCCAUGUAUGAAAUAGUCUGAGGACCACUCUCCAAAGUUUCCUGUGGUAUCACUGGGAGGGAGCCACUGAUGGACAGAAUCAAGUUUCAGCAUUUUCACAGGGCUUUAAAGAAGGCAUUUCAUCUCAUUUGGGGCUUUGAACGUAACUGUCAAAAAAAAGUCAUUAUUUUUAAAGUUAACGACUUGUCAAAGGAAUUUAAACGUUCUCAAGAAAUGUAAUGAUUAAUUUUUAAGGAAAUUUUUAUGGAAGAGUCACAGGCUUCCUAGGGGCCUAUUUUACACAGUUGCCUUUUUCCUUUUCUGACUCAUUUUUACCCUGAGUUUUUCAUGCAGCUGUUCCACUUUUUUUUUUUUUUUUUUUUUUUCCCUGACGGAAAAUGAUACAGACAGAAGAGCUCCAAAAUGACAAAAGGACUUACCUGUGAUUUUAAGAAAUGAUAGGGGGUGUGCAUGGUGCUAGGUUUGGAUCCAGGAAUGUUAAGAGGUUUCCCACUGAUUCAAAGUGGCCCUAUGGAGACUUCUUCAUUGCUAAGCUAACAACAUAUAUGACAGGGAAAGUUGUAUUCUGUUUCUGUUGGAACUUCUAUUCCUAAGUUCCUUCAUAAGACUGAGGUUACUCUUUGGAGGAUUUAGUCAUUCUUUUUCAUAGUGAUAAUAGAGUGCAGAUGAUAAAAGUCUAGCUAUUUUCUUGCUAUAUUUAAGGAGUUACAGUCUAGCAUUCAAGGAACUGACAUUCUCUUCAUAGUGCUUAGGACAGGAGCCAUGAUGCAAACGAAGUGCCUUGAUAGUGAAACAAAUGGAUCCAAAGCAAUCAUAUUUGCACUCACGAUAUGCUGGGCAUUGCCUGUGUGCACAGGAAGUCACUAACUAUAUGCCAAGCAGUCUGUAAGCAGCCUGAAUGUGUGAGACAAAGCAAAAGGAAGUCUUCAGCGUGACAGACACUUCUUUCUCAUUACACACCACUUCUCUUGUCCUUCUUCUCUACUGCUACUAGCAAUAGCUAAAACAAAACAUUAUUCAUGCCAUUUUGAAAGACAGUGGUUCCUUGUGACAGGCACAAGUCUCCAAGCUUUACUUUCUGUCCUACUUAUUCCUGUUCUCUUCCCUUCUGUGAAGCAGUAGACUGAGACAUCUGAAAUGUCUGUGCUGCAGGAUGCUCCAGCUACAGUAUCUUCAGAAAUCCCUGCUGUGGAGGUGCUGCACCAAGAUCUGACCUCCGCCACAGACCUCUCCUUUGCCAGCUGCUGAGAAGGGAUUGCAGUAUCAAGUAGUCCAUUUGCUAAGCUAUCUUUAAAGGCCUGACCGUGUGUGAAAACAAGCCCAUCCAUGGAUUCCUUGAGAGCUACAGACAAGAAUUAUCUUUCCUCCCCAAUUGAAGGAUGAGAUUUUAAGGGGUAAAAGAGUCAGCUGUCAAAAGCUCCUCCUCAGAGGAGUCUGUACAGAUAAGUAACAUUGCCCAGGGCCUCAAAAAUGCCAGUAUUUCCAGCCCACUCAGGACCUAGAUAAUAUUCAAGUAUUUCAGAAUUUUAAGCAUUCUUCUGGGAGAAGGCCUGGUAUUUCUCUGGGGAUUUAUUAUCUUGGUUUUGUUCAGAUCAUGUAUUCUUUUAGGUAGAAAAAGCACAUCAGAGAUGUGGUCUGGAAAAAAAAAAAGAAAAGAACUACUUAGCAUGAGCUCUUUCUUCAAUAUGCAGUUUUCUUGGAUUAAUGCUGGGUAACUUGAGCCUUUCUCAUAGCUCUGAAAGAAUCACAGAAUGGUUUGGGUUGGAAGGGACCUUUAAGAUCAUCUAGUUCCAACCCCCUGCUAUAGGCAGGGACACCUCCUGCUAGACCAGGUUGCUCUAAGCCCCAUACAGUCUGGCAUUGAAUGCUUUCAGGUAAGGGGCACUCACAACCUCACUGAGGGUAACCUUCUAGCCAAUUCCUUAUUCAGUGAGUGGUCCAGCCAUCAAAUCCUUUUUUUUCUCCAAUUUGGCAACCAGGAUGUCAUGAAGCACAGUGUCAAAUGUCAAGUCCAGGUAGAUGAUGCCAGUUUCUCUUCCUUUAUCCACUGUAACUCCAUCACAAAAGGCCACCAAGUUUGUCUGGCAUGACUUGCCCUUGGUGAAGCCGUGUUGGUUACUACCAAUCACGUCUAUUUUCCAUGUGCCAUAGUAGGGCCUUCAGGAGGUUCUGUUCCAUGAUCUUGCCAGGCACAGAGGUGAGGCUGACUGACUUGUAGUUCCCUGGAUCUUCUUUUUCUCCUUUCUUGAAAAUGGGGUUAUGUUUCCCCUUAUCCUAUCAGUGGGAACUUCACCAGACCACCAUAACCUUUGUCAUGUUGUUUGCUUUCUACACUUCAAAAACCUUGCAGCAAUGGGAAGAACGAGGGGGAAUCUAACAGAUAUUCUGGGACCUGACUCCAAAUAUUUGCAGCUCAAAUAAUAGAUAACACAGCUAGCAAGGUCAGAACAGUGAAUGGACAUAAUCUUUGCCAGUUUGGGUGAAAGGCAGUGAUGUAAAAAUGCUCAGAAAGCUAUGUAGGAUUGGAACAAUGUGAGCUUUAGAGAUUGACACUGCCACCUUCUCCUCAGCACAAGAGGAUGGGCAAAAGUACCCCUGGCCCAUUUAAUCUCUAACUAGUCAAGAGAGAUUAUUCAUAUGGAUGAUGGAGGCAUCAACUCAUACUUCCUUAACAGGACAAUUCAAAGCUUUGUAUGUAUAAAACCUAGAAAAUCUUUUACCUAAUAGAGGUCAGCCCAGCAAGUGCUUAUAUGCAACAAUGGCAGACUUUGUUGCAGAAAGGGAGAUGACUUGGAUUCUUAAGCUAAGAUCUUCAGUUGUGCCCCAGAGCAGCAGGCUCUUUGGGAGUUUUUGUUGUUGUUUUUCUCUCUCUCUCCUGCUGAGUUUCCUUCUCAGGCAUUCGAUAUGGGGCCAAGUUUACGGUACUGGUAUGAUGACCAUGUAGGACUCCUGCCUUUCUGACUCAGAGAUCAGGAAUUCCCAGACUAUAGUUAAGGACACUAGGCAAGUCCUUUCAUGCUCUGGGCAGCCUGGUCCAGUGGUUGGCCACCCUACCCGUGGCAGGGGGGUUGAAACUAGGUGAUCUUUGAGGUCCUUUUCAACCCAGGCCAUUCUGUGAUUCUAUGAUUCUAUGCCUCCCAGAGAACCUGGGAGCCACUCAGAGGCCGAGUGCUGGGCUGCAGCUGGCUCUCAUAUAGGUGACCACUGGAUAGGAGUCUACCAGGAAUGCACUUACACAUUGAAGGUUUCUGAACAUUUCAUAAUGUAAUAAUCAGGAGUAAAUGCAUACAGAGGCAGCUCAAGAGAAUGAAAAAGGGCCAUAGAAGGACCCCCGUUACUGAACAGGAACCAGGGAGAAGCCAGUUCUGAGUGGGUUAUUCAGAUCAGUAUGUUCUGGCUGCUUAAAACAAAAUCCUGCCCAAGAGCACGUGGAUCACCAGCAGCUGCAAUGAAAUAUCACAGCUAGACACUAGCUGCAAAGAGAGCCUGAUCAUAACAGGAAACAGUGGAGGCAGGCCUGUGGUGCUGUGAUACAUCGGGUAGGAUGUGGUGAUUGCUACUAUUCACCCACAAAGGCUUUUAGUCCACGCACAACCAUGGAGAACAGCAAGGGCCUUUUCUAUUUAGUUCACGGGAUGACAAAGGAGGAGUUCUACGGUCAGGAAGGAAGGAGGCCUUGCAAGGUAUACUAAUCUCCAGCAGAAUCAGCAGAAUUACAUCAGGGCUCAAUUUGAGAUAAAUGAAGUGAGAGCAAAUUAUUGUGGCAAUUCUUGCCAAGUUUAUUAUAAGUGUCAGAGUUCUUUGCACAAGUGUCAGUAGUUUGUUUGCCCUGGUUCAGCAGAAUAAACUUACUGAGUAUAGACAGAGGCUGAUGGUCUCUGUUGAUCUUUCAUAAGAUGCACAACAAUUCCUGUAACAACGUCAGUGACAUUUAUAGUUCUAAUUAAUUAAUCUCUCAUCAUCCAGGGAAGCUGUCACAGGUACUUCCCUCUUUACGGCACUAUUCUGCUGAUCUAUCAAGUCCUUUCUUAAAAAACAGAAGGCAAGUGAUUUAUUUCAAAGUUGUCAUAAUCAGUUGAGGAAUCUCAAAGAGGCAGUAUUUACUGAAGUAUUUCAUUCUCCCUCUCCACACACAUCGUGCCUCCUCCAGAUCCUCAUUCCCCAUGCUUUAUUUUCUGGGCGAUUAUUCAAAGAAUAGUCUUGCACUGCUGUUUUUGUAGUCCUCCAGAACUCUACUGAUUGCCUUCACAUCAACUCUUCACUAAGGGGUUAUCAAUUUCUUAUUUUUUGCAAGGGCUCAAGGAAAUCCUGUAUUCACUUCCAUUUUAGUGAUGGGUGAAACAGUGAGCUCUCAUUUUUAUUGGUUACAAGGGCUUUAAACUCAGAUUUAGAGAAACCUGUAGAAAGACAAAUAUUUCACAUUUCUUUUGUAAAUUCUUUUUCUUGCCUAUCCUCUCCUUACAGAGAUACACACAGUCAUGUUUUCCUAUAUGGAAUAAUUUGUGAGAUUAAACUGGAUCUAGUUCGAGCACCAGCCAGGAACCUGAUAUGCAGAGAUUAACAAUCAAGUCACCCAGUAUCUUCCCCAUAAAAGGCUCCUGGAGGAGCUAAAAUAGAUCUAACUGAGUACAAGUGUACAUUUGAUGCUGAUGCAGGGAAGGAGAGAUCAACUAACUCAUCAUGGUUCUGAUUAUCACCUUCAUGAUCUUCACAUCAGAACAAUUAUUAAAAGUUACUUGUAAUUGAC